UAGUGCUGUAUUAGCGGCAUGUAGCUGGAGUGGGUGACCUUGCGAUGAGUACUUCUGCGAUGGUGCUGUUUUUUAUUCGGCGGAUUCCACUUCUCUUGGCGGCCGGCUGCCCUCUCCCCUUGCUACUAGUUGUUGUUUGGAGUUGCUAGACGGUGGAGUGGGUCCUCUUGUUCAGCUCGGAGUUCUCCUGUGAAUCUCGUGGCAGCGGGAUCCGACGGUGAUGGGUGCGGACUCAUUCGCUGGCGGCCGAGUUUGGUGUGCGGCACUCAGCUAGAUUGGUGUUGUGCUGGAGUCGCAUUCGGUGACGCACCAGCUCCACUUGUUUUUCCUUGGUUCUUAUCGUGUCGUGCUCCUGUCGACGGUUGGUGUGCGGUAAAGUUGACAGUCCUGGGAUUUUUUCUUGUUCAUCGAGGCACUGUGAUUGAAGAGACAGUGCUGCACUGCGGCGCAAUUCCCUAGUCGCGGCUAGAUCUGUUGGUCAUCUUCAACCUUGAUUUCAUUGUGGUCCACGGUGUUGUCAACACCUUACUGCAAUUCAGUGCUCACAGUGAUUUCUAGUUGGCAAUUCUUUGAAGUUCCGUGAUCUCUUGCGGUUGCCAGUAGAUGAGCUGCUGGAUCGGUGCGAGGUGUGCUUGGACCUGGAUCCUCUUCCUUCUUCUGGCGUCGUGCAAGGAUUUGAAGUAGUAGUGGCUUAAUGUGGAGAAUCACAAGUGAUCACAAACUAACUAUCAACUUUGCAUCCCAUGAAUCCACAUUGGUGAAUAGGUGUUGUUACAGUUCUACACUGGCUAUCUUAGCAUUCAGCUUACUGUGCACCCUUCCACCUGUGAAAUUCCAACAUACAUAGACUUAGUCAGGGUUGAGAUUAAGUGUUAGACAACCAUUUUGCUAGGAUGGAUUUGUGGCAAGAAUUAUCCUGAUUUAAGAUUUUGACCUAAUGGAUGAAGCUAGAUUAGUGAUGGAUGAAAAUGAGACUUAGAUGGAAAUUGAGUGGAUGAAUUCUUAUUCAAGGAUGAAAACUCAUUCAUGGAUGGAAAAUUGUAAUUGAACGACAAUUGAUUAA